GAUGAAGAACGCAGCGAAAUGCGAUAAGUAAUGUGAAUUGCAGAAUUCAGUGAAUCACCGAAUCUUUGAACGCACAUUGCGCCCCCUGGUAUUCCGGGGGGCAUGCCUGUUCGAGCGUCAUUUCACCACUCAAGCCUCGCUUGGUAUUGGGCAUCGCGGUCCGCCGCGCGCCUCAAAUCGACCGGCUGGGUCUUCUGUCCCCUAAGCGUUGUGGAAACUAUUCGCUAAAGGGUGUUCGGGAGGCUACGCCGUAAAACAACCCCAUUUCUAAGGUUGACCUCGGAUCAGGUAGGGAUACCCGCUGAACUUAAGCAUAUCAAUAAGCGGAGGA
rnacentral:misc_RNA from 1 species